UCGACCUAGUUGAGGCCAAAU
rnacentral:rRNA from 1 species